rnacentral:rRNA from 1 species
UACGUAGGGUGCGAGCGUUGUCCGGAAUUAUUGGGCGUAAAGCGCACGUAGGCGGUUCGUUAUGUCGGAUGUGAAAGCCCUUGGCUUAACCGAGGAAGUGCAUCCGAAACUGGCGAGCUAGAGUACGAAAGAGGAUCGCGGAAUUCCCGGUGUAGAGGUGAAAUUCGUAGAUAUCCGGAAGAACACCGGUGGCGAAGGCGGCCUGCUGGGCAGUAGCUGACGCUGAGGCGCGACAGCGUGGGGAGCAAACAGG